GGGCUCCCAAAGUGCUGGGAUUACAGGCAUGAGCCACCGUGCCCAGCCCCAAUGUUGAAAUAAAAUCCAAUAAUCGGAGAGCUCCUGGAAUCUAUGAUGUGAUCAGAAGAUGGAGCAGUAAUUUAAAACUGAUUUUAGCCUCCGUGUGACCCAACGUUGUUGAAGGGCUGCCAAAAAAAAUGUGAUUUUGAUGACUGGAGCCCAAGAAGUCGUCUUGGACCAUGAAGUAAAAGUCUUAUGUUAACAACAGAAGAGCAACAAGACAGAAGACCAGUUCCCUGAUCAUCAUAUUGCUGCCAUGCUAGCCCUGGCGUGCCUUUGUCUGUGUGAGUGAGAAAUACACUUUUAUAGUAUUUAUAUUACUGAUAUUUUGGAGUGUUGAGGAAGGAUGUGAAUUACUGUGCUCAUAGGACAGAUUAUUAUUUUUUCUUUUUUUUUUUUCGAGCCGGAGUCUCACUCUGUCACCCAGGCUGGAGUGCAGUGGCAUAAUCUCGGCCAAUUCUCCUCCAAAGGAAUGCAGCUCCUUGCCAGCAAUGGAACAAAGCUGGACAGAGAAUGACUUUCAUGAGUUGAGAGAAGAAGGCUUCAGAAGAUCGGUAAUAACAAACUUCUCUGAGCUAAAGGAGAAUGUUUGAACCUAUCGCAAAGAAGGCCUUCAAACCAAUGGCUCCUCUGGGGUGACUUCGGUCAAGAGUUUGGCUUUUUCAUCAACAAUUUGAACCAGCAAGAAAGUGUGGAAAAUAGCGCUGAUGAGAAAAACCCAGUUUUCUAGGCUAGAGGCGUGGGUCUGCCCAACUGCUGAGAGGCUUCUCCAACAUGGCUCACCAUUCCUAGAAGUGGUGUGUGGCGGAGCUUGUGCAGAAUAUCAUAUCAGGACAUACCUGCACCAGUUAGUCUAGGCCAGAUCUUUUGACUAUGGGAGAGACUGGGUCCGCGGACCCACGCGUAAGAUGUUUUCCACGCUGUUGGUAAAUCAGUGGCCUUUUUCCCCCCGAGUGAAUGAAUUUGGGAAUAGUACCCGAAUCAGAAAAGUUUCUGAGGAUUUCUCCUGGAAUUCCAAGGGUCUGUAAAUCCUGUGGCUGGCUGGGAGCCUACGUUGAUGAUCUUUAAUGCAGAAGAGGAUGUAUUUGAGCAUCUGGCCUGGAAAUUGACUAAAUCUGUCUAUAGCAUAAUUGGUUCAGAAAGAGCUGGAAGACAAAUCGAGAAUGGUGGGCGUAAAUAGAAGAAAAGGUGGCAGAAGGGGAGCCAGAUGGAUGAGCUGAGACACAAAACACACACAAACAAAGGCUGCUUGGGAUGCCAGCAGAGCACAUUUGCAUCUGGGGUCCAGAACAGGAUGGUCACAAGGGAGCCUCCUUGGUCUGGAGAUGUCAAGACCCAACAUCCAGCUCCCAGGACAGAGCCUAUCCCUAAACAGCAAGAACCCAACCACCUUCCACAUGGGGCAAUCUCUGAGCACACUGGGAUGGGUGGUCCAAAUUGGCUUUCUUAGUGAAUUCAGAACACAAAAAAUUCAUUGAAAAAUCAGUGGAUUUCUUAGAGAAUUUAGGCUCACAGCUGAUGCAGAGGUCUGAUCAGAGACAGAUUAGGGAAAGAUGAUUUCUUCGUUACUAUAUAUAAUUUUUCCUUUUGCACGGUGCCAUUCCAAGGCAGCCGAAAUAUAUUCCGUUUGCAAUUCUUACAGGGUGUUUAGAGUAGUAGCUUGCAUGUGGUGGGCCCUCAAUACUAUGUGUGGUGAUAGAGAGAUUUCCUUAUUUGAUCAAGCCUUGCUGCAGCCAGGAGGGAAUCAAUAGUUAAAAAUGUCUGCUGCUGAAUUGCUUCUCAUGCUCAUUUGCCGGCGGUGAGGGAGAGGGUGUUGUCAAGCAGCCUUAACUUCUAUCUGCACCCAACAGAUACCUAUAAUUAAAAAAUAAUAAAUUUUGCAUUUACUUACAAACACUGAAGCAAUUUUCAGAGUAUCAAAAAGAGCAUGGGAGAGACCAUCGCAGUGAGAGGUGACAUUGAGCCAGGUGCAUUGAACAGCACAACCAUAAAUAAUUACAUUGCCCUUUUCAGAACUGCGACGCGUGACCUACCCAAUUAAGCCUCCCAGAGUCUCAUUCUGAUGGCCCAUAGUUCACGACAUCCUUCCCACAUUUGUCAUAACAGCUUUGUUUUCUGCAUCUGCUUUCUUUCACAGUUUGCACCCCGUGCAGUCAAAUUUCAUGCUUCCAAAAUGAAAAAUAAAACUGCCAGUUCUCGUCUCUUUGGGGGAAAUUAGUCUUCUUUCUCCCAUAAAUUAUAAGCAUGCUUCAGCUGUAAACAGAGCAUUAGCAACUCUGGAAGUACAUUAACUUCCGUUAUUGGCAAGACCUGAGGUUACUGAGAUUUGCUGAUUUUAACUUAGGGAGGGGAAGGCAGGUAGCUGCAGAGUGGGUGGGAGGUGUGGAUUAUUUACCAUUUCAGUAGAAGGAAGGACGUUCUCAUCCGUGCAACCCCAGUUUAUGCUGCUUGUCACAGCACAAGUAUGAAAAGCAUCCCUUUCCCUCUAAAAGUGUCCCAGUUUGGAUGACAAAUUAUAUGGUCACUCUGAUUAAAAUGCAAAUAAAAUAUGGAGCAAAAGCUUGUUUUGUGAGUGAAGCCAGACACAAAAGGCCACAUGUUGUGUGAUCUCAUUUAUUUGAAAUGUCCAGAAUAAGCAAAUCCAUAGAAGGAGAAAGUAGAUUAGUAGUUGCCAGGGGCUGGGGGUUCCUGGGGGAAAUGGGAAAGGAUUUCUAAUGGGUAUGAGAUUUCUUUAUGGGGUGAGAAAAAUGUUCUAAAAUUGAUUGUGGUGAUGGCUGCAUGACUCUGUGAAUAUGCUAAAAACCAUUGAAUUGUACCUGUUAAAUAGGUAAAUUGGAUGGCACAUAGAUUAUAAGUCAAUAAAGUUGUUCUAUUGAAACAAAA